rnacentral:tRNA from 1 species
GUUUUAAUAAUUUAAUAAAAAUAUUGGUCUUGUAAACCAAAAAUAAGGAACAGCCUUUUAAAACU